AACGCACAUUGCGCCUUAUGGUAGUCCGUAAGGCAUGCCUGUUCGAACGUCAUCAAACCCCUCGAGUCCUCUGGCUUUAAUCGGCCACAGGAGCCUCGGUGUUGCUCGUGGAGGUACCUCUGGUUCCUCCUGGGCGAAUUCCAUUGUGCUGAUCCACAGGUCGCCAAAGCGUAGUAAGCCUAAAAAGCUCUCGCCUGGCGCAAGACCUUGCUGGUAUCAUGCCGUUGAACCCCAUAACCCAUAAGAGUUUGACUUCGGAUCAGGUAGGGAUACCCGCUGAACUUAA
rnacentral:misc_RNA from 1 species